rnacentral:rRNA from 1 species
ACGAACGCUGGCGGCGUGCCUAAUCCAUGCAAGUAGAACGCUGAAGAGAGGAGCUUGCUCUUCUUGGAUGAGUUGCGAACGGGUGAGUAACGCGUAGGUAACCUGCCUUGUAGCGGGGGAUAACUAUUGGAAACGAUAGCUAAUACCGCAUAACAAUGGAUGACACAUGUCAUUUAUUUGAAAGGGGCAAUUGCUCCACUACAAGAUGGACCUGCGUUGUAUUAGCUAGUAGGUGAGGUAAUGGCUCACCUAGGCGACGAUACAUAGCCGACCUGAGAGGGUGAUCGGCCACACUGGGACUGAGACACGGCCCAGACUCCUACGGGAGGCAGCAGUAGGGAAUCUUCGGCAAUGGGGGCAACCCUGACCGAGCAACGCCGCGUGAGUGAAGAAGGGUUUCGGAUCGUAAAGCUCUGUUGUAAGUCAAGAACGGGUGUGAGAGUGGAAAGUUCACACUGUGACGGUAGCUUACCAGAAAGGGACGGCUAACUACGUG